rnacentral:lncRNA from 10 species
CUUGUAUGAGGAUAAAGGACUGUGAAACAACUCCUAUCAUGUAACGGCAUCCACAGGGGAAGGACAGGGAUGCCAUCUGUCCACCGCCAAAUCUCCAAAUCAGAAUCUCCUACCUAAUGCGGUAUGGUGAGGCCAACAGAUCAGAAGACACUGCCGCUGAAAAGAUAACACAGUUUCCUAGAGGAAGGGGCAUACUAUGCCAUGCAGGGCCACAAGCAUGUCAGAAGCUCCAGCGUCAGUGACAAGGCAGAAGGAGCCUGGGUAAAUGUGGGCAAGAGCCUUUAUUGUGGUUUUCCCAAGAAGGAAUGGGCAAGAUCAGGUAAGCAGCUGAGCAGGUUUAGGAUUGCCUAGUUUGAAUAAUUUCAGAGGGCACCAGGGUAUGUGGACCACCCUUAGCUGUCUGAUGUAUGGCCCUGGGUAAUUAGGGCAGGGGGAUAGUAGAUAAACAAUGAGAUCUCAAUAAAAGAGGUAGAGGCCAGGCAUAGUGGCUCACACCUGUAAUCCCAGCACUUUGGGAGGCCAAGGUGGGAGGAUCACUUGAGCUCAGGAGUUCAAGACCAGCCUGAGCAACAUGGUGAAAUCCCAUCUCUAUAAAAAUGUUUUCAAAAAUUUGUCUGAGUGUGGUGGUUACUCAGCUAAACUUGUGGUCCCAGCUACUCAGGGGGCUUAAGUGGUCCCAGCUAUUCAGGAGGCUGAAGUGGGAGGAUCACUUGAGCCUAGGAGUUCGAAGCUGCAGUGACCCACGAUCGUACCACUGUGCUCCAGCCUGG